rnacentral:rRNA from 1 species
AUGUGGUUGCGGGUGAUGUCGCUGAGCUUGGUGCACCCGCCGAGCGCCAUGGUGAGCUCGAACUCCUCCCGCAUCAUGCGCAGCACGUUCCGCACGCCGGCCUCGCCCUCCGCCGCCAGCGCGAACACCACCGGCCGCCCGAUCUGCAAGCAAACUGGUGAAGGAUGGAUGGAUGGCUUACGAAGACGCCGGAGGCGCCGAGGGCGAGCGCCUUGA